CCUACGGGAGGCAGCAGUGAGGAAUAUUGGUCAAUGGGAGCGAUCCUGAACCAGCCAUGCCGCGUGCGGGAAGACGGCCCUAUGGGUUGUAAACCUCUUUUGUCGGAGAACAAACCCAGGGACGUGUACCGGACUGCGUGUAUCCGACGAAAAAGCAUCGGCUAACUCCGUGCCAGCAGCCGCGGUAAAACGGAGGAUGCGAGCGUUAUCCGGAUUUAUUGGGUUUAAAGGGUGCGUAGGCGGUCCGUUAAGUCAGCGGUAAAAUUGCGGGGCUCAACCCCGUCGGGCCGUUGAAACUGGCAGACUUGAGUGGGCUAGAAGUACGCGGAAUGCGGGGUGUAGCGGUGAAAUGCAUAGAUAUCGAGCAGAACACCGAUUGCGAAGGCAGCGUACCGGCGCCAGACUGACGCUGAGGCACGAAAGCGUGGGGAGCGAACAGGAUUAGAUACCCGAGUAGUC
rnacentral:rRNA from 1 species